GCUGCGUUCUUCAUCGGUUUCCGUAGGUGAACCUGCGGAAGGAUCAUUAACACGUAUCCAAACGUUAAAACCCCCCCCGUGAACCUUCAUCCUGCUCUUGUAACCCGCGUAGUUCGCAAUCUCUGAUAAAUCAUAGCCCGGAAAGUUGUAGUGAUUCAGAGACCUCUGGCUACGUGCGAACAUUGGAACAGUUACAAUCGAGCGGUAGUUCUCUAGGCAAUGUUUCCCCAAGCAGUCAGUGUCGGAAAGUGUCAUUGAUUGUGCAAGGAUAGCGCUUCUACGAUUCCUGUAGACCGUACACUCGGGCAGGAGCUUUGCCAAAGGGUCCCCAUGCCCCCUAAUAACCCCACAGUUUAAUGUGAAGCUCAAUGUAAUACAUUGGGUAAAAAAACCGAACAACUGUUAACAAUGGAUAUCUUGGUUCUCGCAACGCUUGUUACGACUU
rnacentral:misc_RNA from 1 species